UCUCUAAACUCUUUCGACAACUUCACUUUCUCUCUCCCUCCCUCUACAAUUUCGGUCAGUUUUACUCCAAAUUCUUCAUCUGUUUCGUUCAAAUUUAUGUUAUUUAAUCGAUUAUCUUCAUCGAUUUUUCCAGAUUUCGUGUUUUAUGAGGUCUAUUUCAAAGGGAUUCUUGCUGAAGGAUAAAAUCUGGAGGGGGUAUUAUCAAAGCGUUGGCCAACCCAUAUGGGCCUCUCUCUGAAUAUUGCUAUUCUGGAUGUUCCUCUUAGUAUCUGGAAGAAAAUGCUACAUCCUUUAAGUGGCUUUAGUUUUGGCAGAAGGAGCAUUUGGCAUUUGGGAAGGCGAGGCUUGUGUCAUUUGUGCGGGAACACCUGUGAGGAUUAGAGGGGUGAAUGUUGGCAAUGUCAUCCGCGUGAAUCCUUCUUUGAAAAGCAUAGAAGCUGUCGUUGAGGUUAGUAUUCUUCAUCUCAUGCUUCUCUGUUACUACAGAAGACAAUACUAAAUUUUGCUGAUUUGCAAUUAAACAAAUAAUACAUGUACCCAGGAAAUCGUCCCUACCUAGUUGUAUUUUUCAAGAGUCUGAAUGUUGGUGGUAUCAUAAAGAUCAAACCUAAUUGACAAGGUUCAAUCCUAAAUAUUUAUGCAGCAUUCCUCCUUCUCAUAGUUUCCGUUUCAGAAGUUUUUAGAGAAUUGUCCAAUAAAAAAGUAGAUAGAGAAUACAUAAAAGUAAACAUAAAUAGUAAAAGCUAAAUUUCCCUAUCUUUUAUAGAUAGUACUUUCUUGAAUAUUUUGUUAAAACCUAUUAGCUCAAAUGGUAGAGCAAUGUGCCAUUGCACAUAGAUGUAGGUUCAAAUCCUACAUAGGUUGAUGAGAACACAUAGCUGAGCUCCGAUGUAUUUAUCGGGAUAGGUUCUACAAGAGAGUUACCCUCCGGCAUGAGCCGAGCUAAGUGUCAGAUUCUGCAUUUUGGGAAGUGGGUUAAAUUUUAUUUUGAAAAUAAGAAAAGGCAAAAAGAAUGAGAAAGAAAGAGAAAUGGGAGAAAUGGGAAAGUUUGUUUUACAAGAUUAACCUACGUGGGAUUCGAACCCACAUCUUUUGUGCAUUUGCACAAAGCUCUACCUAUUGAGCUAGUAGGCUAGUAAGAACUCAUCCAAGGAAGUUCAAUAUAGGGAGAUAAAUUUCAGAGAUAUUCAAAGUUUUUUUUUGUGUCCAUGUUCUAAAACGUUGAGCUCGUUGUUCCAAAUAUUGUAGCAUAUGUUCUAAUCCUUGAUAACAAAUGCUCUAUAUAAAUCAAAGGAUUAUUACCUUUGUACUAAUACAUAAUAAAUAUAAAAGAUCAGAUAAACAGAAUGCUGGACUAAAGACAACUCCCAGUCUCCCACUGUAUCAAAGUUCAAAGUGUCGUAUGUUCUAUAAAUAAGCCUCUGUGUAGUCUCUGCCAUAGUUGUCUUGGUGCUCUUAUCCUUUUCUUGUCUGAAGCUACAUGGAUCGAUGAAAGUAAACAGGAUCGAGGUGUUAUAAUGGCUGAAAUAGCCCGUGAAUUUGCUUGAUUAUUACAGAUUAGGA